rnacentral:misc_RNA from 1 species
UAAGUAAAAAUCGAGGUGUCGCUUUUGUGACAUUUCGGAGUUGGGUUAUCUUAGCCUUUCAGGUUAAGAGGCCUAAAAUUGAUGUUUUUUGCGCAUCCUAGACGUGUAUAAAUCGCUUAUCCGUUUUCGGGUGUCAAACUUUUUUAUUAGGUAUGGUCACUUCGCAUGAUCUCGUACCUAUAAUUUUCAUG